CACCCUCUGACCAUGCCUCCAUUUGGCCCAGCGCUGAAUUCCCAUCUCAUGGUGGGGCGCGGGAAAUGUGGUAUACAUAAGACCCACUCCCUGGCGGUGCUCCGGUGGGGGACCCAAGUCCUUCUGAUUGAGGCACAGCCCACGGAUGGUGUGAGGCCGGUGGCAGACUCCGGUGUGCCGGGACCAGGUCUCAGAGUCGGGUUGCUUGGGAAUGCAGCCCAAAGUGGGUGUAAACUCCAACUAAGGCUAAAUACUGGCACGAGACCGAUAGUCGACAAGUACCUUACGGAAAAGUUGAAAAGAACUUUGAAGAGACAGUUCAAGAGGGCAUGAAACCAUUAAGAGGGAAACGGGUGGGGUCCGCGCAGUCUGCCGAGAGUAUUCAACCUGGCAGGUGAAGUCGGCUGGGCUGGGCUGGUGGAUCCCCUCCCUCCUGCUGCCCUCUUGUGGGGAGGAGGGUUCCAGGAGGGGACCGCCACCCGGAUGGCUCCGGCCCCUGUCUGGCGCAUUUCUGCCAGACCGGUGCACCGCGACCGGUCCGGGUUGGCUGGGAAGGCCUUGGUCGGGCAGGUGUCCCACCGCCCUUCAGCGGGCGGGGGAUAUUACAGC
rnacentral:ncRNA from 1 species